UUACGGCCACAUCACGUAGAAACACCGGUUCUCGCGCGACCAUGGAAGUUAAGCAACGUCGAGCCUGGUCAGUACCUAGAUGGGUGACCGCUUGGGAAUACCCGGUGAUGUAA